rnacentral:rRNA from 1 species
GACGAACGCUGGCGGCGUGCUUAACACAUGCAAGUCGAGCGGUAAGGCCCUUUCGGGGGUACACGAGCGGCGAACGGGUGAGUAACACGUGGGUGACCUGCCCUCAGCUCUGGGAUAAGCCUGGGAAACCGGGUCUAAUACCGGAUAUGACUCCAUGACGCAUGUUGUGGGGUGGAAAGCCUUGUGCGGCUGAGGAUGGGCCCGCGGCCUAUCAGCUUGUUGGUGGGGUGANGGCCUACCAAGGCGACGACGGGUAGCCGGCCUGAGAGGGCGACCGGCCACACUGGGACUGAGACACGGCCCAGACUCCUACGGGAGGCAGCAGUGGGGAAUCUUGCGCAAUGGGCGAAAGCCCUGACGCAGCGACGCCGCGUGAGGGAUGACGGCCU